UACAGAGGGUGCAAGCGUUGUUCGGAAUUAUUGGGCGUAAAGCGCGUGUAGGCGGCUUUGCAAGUCUGGUGUGAAAUCCCUCGGCUUAACCGAGGAAGUGCGCCAGAAACUGCAGAGCUUGAGUACCGGAGAGGAUGGUGGAAUUCCCCAAGUAGAGGUGAAAUGCGUAGAUAUCCGGAGGAACACCGGUGGCGAAGGCGGCUUCCUGGACCGACACUGACGCUGAGGCGCGAAAGCUAGGGGAGCAAACGGG
rnacentral:rRNA from 1 species